rnacentral:rRNA from 1 species
CUGCGGAAGGAUCAUUGUCGAAUCCUGCCCCUACAAAGACCGCGAACCAGUUAUCAAAAACCCGGGGCGCGGGCGGGCGAGGGGAAGCUUUCCCAGCGCCCGUCGGCCCUCGCACAAAACCUAACUCUCGGCGCGGGAUGCGCCAAGGACUACUGAAACGGAUUGCCCGGGCGCCGGCUCACGCCGGUCGCGCGCGGCGUCUGGUCGUUCUAAUCGAAACGACUCUCGGCAACGGAUAUCUAGGCUCUCGCAUCGAUGAAGAACGUAGCGAAAUGCGAUACUUGGUGUGAAUUGCAGAAUCCCGUGAACCAUCGAGUUUUUGAACGCAAGUUGCGCCCGAAGCCAACAGGCCGAGGGCACGUCUGCCUGGGCGUCACGCAUCGCGUCGCCACCCCCCCCACCCGCGCGCUCGGUCGCGUUCUCGGGCGGGGAUGACGGAUGUUGGCCUCCCGUGCCCCCCGCGGCGCGGCCGGCCUAAAUGCGAGCCCCCGGCGCGGGACGUCGCGGCAAGUGGUGGUUGAACUGCUCAAUCGUGUGCUGCCGGGACGACCCUCGACGGGAGCGAAACGACCCCGGAGCCCGUCAAGGGCCCCAGACCGCGACCCCAGGUCAGGCGGGAUUAC